CCCCUCUCAGGAUCUCAUCUGGAGAGUUUCCAGUACUCUACCAGUCUCGGCAAUGAGAAGGAGAGUCAAGCAGAGGUCUGUCCAUGCCAUUCUUAGCUUGAGCAAUGGCUAGCGAGUGGAAAGCAAUCUGCUACAAGU